CCCUAUAGUACUAAUUUAAGAUUUAUAUUCUCUUUCUUUUCUCUCUCUCAUAAAGGCACACAUAAAGCUCAGCCAUGAAGAAACUUAGAUCUCUAAUCCAAAGUUCUUCCUCUAUUCAUUAGCCAUGGCUCUUUUUAAUUAUUAUUAGCAGUAUUUUUUAUUUUUGGCCUUUUUUUGAUUCUUUGAAACCCUUAAAAGAUAUCAUAUUUUUCUUGUACGGAUAUAUUCUUGAUUUCACGAGUUCAACGGUGUGCAGUUGUUCCUUUCAUUGGAUCUACAAAUCAAGUUUAGUGAUCUUGUUAAUAUGUGUGUCAAGCACCCAUUUUAUCGAUCUAACUAUUUGAAGAUCAUAUAUAUAGUACAAAGAUCUGCCCUUUUUCUUCUUCUUUUUCGCUUUUUAUUUACUUAUUUAUAACUUCUGGUGUUCAUAUUCACUGACUCGAUUAAUUAAGAUUUGUGUCAUGUAAGUUCGGAUAAAGGGAAAACAUUGAUAGGGAGACUUGUUUUUUCCUUUACAGGAUUUGAACCCGAAAUCCUACCAACCCUUUGGCGGUCUUUUUCUCUUUUUAUUUGCUUAUUUAUAACUUCUGUUGUUCAUACUUACUAACUCGAUUAAUUUAGAUUUGCAUCAUGUAAGAUCCAAUAUUGGGAAUUUCAUUUAUAGGGCUUGAACCACACCCUUUGUUGUCUUUUUGUUCUUUUUUCCUUUUAAAUUUAUUUGUAACUUCUUCUGGUAAUUAGUAACUCGAUCGACAAUCUAAAUUCAAAAAUCAUGUAAGAUCGAAUAGAAAGGAAUUUCAUUCAUCCUACCAUAUUCUUUGAUAGUCUUUUUUCUUCUUUCUUAAUUUACUUGAUUCUACUUUUGACAUAUAGAUAAUAGAUGUCAUGAUUUUAAUUGAUUUUGUGUCCAAAAUAUUGUAUCAACAUCUUUACCAAUUCAUUUUAGGGUUUUGUAUUUUUUUGGGUCUCUAAAAUCAAUUCAAUUACUUCAAUCUUUUCAUUGAAAUGCUUCACAGAGUCUUUUGUGUACGAGAAAUAUGAUUUUGUUUUUUCUUUUCCUGGUCUCUAUAGGCAUCUUUUUCCUUUUAUUUUUCUUUUUGCUUUUUGUUCUUCAUCAUCUCUGUGGUACACAGUCGUCGUUUGCAAAUGCAGCACCAUUAAGAUUCUCAAAUAUUUGACAUUAAAAAUGCAAUUAAAUGUGAAUCUUGAUGAUGCUGCAUUAGCAAUAAACGACUAAACAAAGAUUACCAUGGUCCCUGCAUAAGGAUGACACACAUCUUGAUUGUUUGAUUCCAAUCAUGGUAUGUAAUUGCUUAUUUCUUCGAGGUAUUUUAGUUAUAUAUACCAAUAUUAUAAAGUUUGUUCAGGUUGUAAUUGGUGUACUUGUGGAUUAUGAUAGCAGGUAAAUUACCAGUUUUACCUUGGUACUAAAUUAAUGUUUUACCUUAUAAAUGAUCUGGUUAGGUAAACAAUAAGGGGUCGUUUGCAAGAGUAUAUUAAGAAGAAGAAUGCAUGCAUUAGUCUUGUGUAUUAUUAGUAUCUUGUUUGAUGCAUUUUUUAUUCUAUGACAUAAGUUAUGCAUUUUAUUGUGUAUUGAGGUGUGCAUAAUUAAUACCUCAAAAUUCAUGGCAUUAAUAAUGCAAUGGAUCUAAUGCAUACAUUAGCAUGAUUAAAGACACAAUUAUCCCUUAAAAAAAUUUUCGCAUCCUUUCCAAUAUAUAUAUGAAGGGUAUUUUUAUAAAAAAAAUAUUUUGCUUUAGAAAUUAUGUAUUUCAUAUUAUUUUUAAUACAUCCAACCAAAGAAGGUAUAAGAAAAAUACAAACAUAACUAAUACAAACAUAACUAAUACACCAUAUCUACCAAACGACCCCUUAGUUACAUGCAUAUAUACGUAAUUGAUGUACAUUUAUUGAUUGUCAUUGUUUCAUGUCUUUCUUUGAAAUUGUUUCUUUGGGUGCGGUCAAAAUUAGAAAGCUAAAGCCUGUAGGUAUCUAGUUAUUCUUUAAGCAAAUUAUUUCUGCUUUGACUUUAAAGUAUAUACAGAUUCUUUUGUCACUACUAUUAACCUUAAAUUUAAUCAAUAACUUUGUCUCUGUCUAAGAUGUGUCAUAGCCACAUUGCUAUUAAGAUAUAAUGUGAUUCUUGAUGAUUCCUUUGAUUGCUGAUUUGUCACUCUCCUUUCACUCAGGGAGGCGAAAGCCUAGGUGGAUAGUUUAAAUUUUUUUGAAAAAAAAAUAUCGGAGGGUUUAAGUUGUAUACCUUGAUGAUGUGAUAAUUUGUUUGUAUCACUAAUGUAAUUUAAUUACAUGCAUGUUAUUGGCUUAUAGCAGGCUAGCUAUUUGUCAUUUGUAAUAGCACUUAAAAUAAAAUAUUUUUUUGGAUUUAUAUUAUAUGUUGAUAGUGCAUAUAUAUCGUGUCACAGUAAAAUGGAGGUUUAUUUGUAACAACGUAACCUUGCGAAUGAACUAAUUAACAAUCAUGUAAAUGCUUUUACAUCGUCAAUAUGUAGACUUUAAAAUUUAUUUUUAUUUUAUGACUGUAUCUUGGAACAAGUAAAUUAGGUGUCUAUGUGAAACAAAUUAAAGCACUUUGGAUGCAGGUUUUGACAAAAUCAAGACCAGUAAUCUGAAAUUUCUGAAGUCAAUACAAGAAGACUAAAGCCUGAAGGUAUGUUUUUCUUUAUUUUUCAUCUUGUGUUUCUGUACUCAUACCGAGAUUUUGCCUAAUCCGAAUUUGUGGAUUCCGUAUAGUAAGAUCUAUUAAAGAGGGUAGGCCCUCCAAAAGUUGAAUGUGAAACCUCUAGUUAAGGAUAAAGAGAUCCUAUUCAUUCCAUCACAGCUUUUGGUGGUAAGUUUUUCUGCUUAACAAACUAUUUUGGGCGUUGUGAAUAUAAAUAGAUUCCAUUAGCUCAAAUCAAUUCGAGGUAAUGAAUCAAUUGAGCCAUUUACAAAAUGAACAAAAGAAACUGACUAUGUAAAUAUCUCGCGUGUUAUUUUCAGAUAUCUUAUAUGUGAACUAAAAACAAAUUCAUAAAAGGUUAUAAAAUUUAUUGAAAUUAAUGGAAAUUCCAAUUCAACAACAAUAUACCAAGUGCAUUUUCUAUAGUCCCUCAAAACGUUUUCAAAACAGAUUUAACGACAAAAAUAUUAGAGAUAAGCAUUCAGUAUCCCUUCGAAUUGGGGUCAAAGUUGCUACGACACACUCCAACUUCACAGGGUCCUAUUACCCCUUAAUUCAAUUUUAACAUAUUUUUGUCAUCCUUUUGUACUGUUGUGACAUCUUUAUUACAUAAAAUGAGGUUCAUAUCAAAAGUGUCACAUCAGCUAAAAAGGAUGAAAAAAAUAACUAAAAUUUAGUUAGGGGUUAUAGGACACCCGUGAAGUUGAACUGUGUUGUCACAAAUUUGAUUAUAGUUCACAGGUACUAUAUGCUUUACUCAAAAUAUUAAGAUCACUAUCUUUGCUGCAGAUUUUAUAAUGAGGUACAUUUACUUUUUUUGGUUACCAUGUUAUAAAGUCUUUUUGUACAAGAAAUAUAUAAUUGUGCAGCAAGAUGGAAGAACAAAUUUUACUGGAUGGUCCCUCUAUUUAUAUGAUCAAAAUGUACUAUCUUCAACAUUUAUGCCACUUCAAUCUCCACAAUGGGAAACACAUUACAGAUUUUGGUCCCUCCAUGAUCAGUACUAUAUAUAUUGAGUAGUAAAAGUAAACUUUUUCUUCAGAAUAUAAUCUUAAUUGGGAAUUUCCCCAUUAUAUAAUAGAGAACUUACCAGAGAAGAUUUAGUUGAAAGGCCACAUUGAAAACUUAUUUUGGGAAAUAGAUACCUUUUCUUAUUUGACCUAAUUUUUUAGGGUUUUGUGGGGAAUGGGUUAAAGUAUAAAAUUAAAAUUUUUUUUGGCACCCCUUAUGUAUUUAUUAAAUAAAUUUUUAACCCCAUUCUUUCAUUAAAUACAAAAAAAAAAUUUUCUCUCUCAUCUUCUCGUUACUCUCUCCCGCUUCAUCUCCCCUUUCCACCAUUUUUCAAUUUCGAGCUUGUGUAAAUCAUCUCCAACUUCGAUCUUCAACAUCAGGUAAGUUAUAUUCAUCUUAUGGUUAAUUUGUGCUCCAUAUUGAUAGGAUUUUGUUAUUUUUUUUCUGAAUUUGUUUAUGGCGGUUGAACUCGUUGGAGUUAAAAAAAAUUGAAUUUUUUUGAAAACGGGGCUUGAUUUUACUGAAAUUGAUUGUUUUUAGUUGGUAUUUACUUGAUUGUUGAUGGAUAAUUGGUGUAUAUCGAUUAUAUUUGGCGAUUGCACGUUGAAAUUUUUUCACUAAUUUCGUCGGAAUGUGGCAAGAUAUGUGAUUUUUGUUCAAACUUUUCUCCAAUGGAAUGGUGUUGUAGAAGCAUGUUCAUAUUGGGGAUUCCUUGAUCUGAAUCAUACUCGUAUUUGAUAUUUGGAUCCGAAAAAUUAAAUUUUUUUUUGAAAAACUGGGGCUUGAUUUUACUUAAAAUUUAUGUUUUUAAGUUGGUAUUUGGUUUGAUUGUGCAUUGUUUUUGUUGGAUUUUAAUUUUCCUCGACGAUUGCGUUGAGAUUUUUUUGCCAAUUUUUCUUGAUUUUCGUGCUAAAAAUUUGGGUUCCUUCCUGUUUUUGUUUAAUAUAAUGGUGAUUUAUAUGCAUGUUCUUGUGGGUGAUGGAGUUGUUUUGGAAGAAACUUCUUCUGCAAAUAAGCUUUUUUGGUGCUGCAACUGCUGUCAUGUUAAUAGACUAUUAGGUCAAUUAGGUAUUGUAUUUGUUGUUAUAGUUGAGAAAUAUUAUUUUUUGUUCGUAGAUCAUAACAAAUGGUUAGAGGUAACAAACACAAGGCAUUAGAAGUUGAUAGGUCUGAGAAAAGAAAAAAACGAGUAGUCGACGAAUCGGAGAAUAGAAAUUGCAGCGAAGAAGCUGUUGAAGCUUCGGUUAGAGAUAAGCAGGAGGAAAUAGAAAUUGAGGCUAGGAUAGAUAAGAAAGCAUUGAUCUUGCCCCACUGUGCAAGGUUUAUUUUGGAUGAGAGGUACGGCCUCGCCAUAGUCCUGGAUGAUGUCGAAUUAUUUUCGGCUAAGAUAUCUGUUAGGUCCCAUUUGAAAAUAUUUUAUGAAUUCAAACAAGUCGUGGUUGAUCAACGUCUGAAGUCUAGGUUUAAGAAUUCCUGAUUUGGUGGUUUAUGGAACUUGCCAGAACAUAUGAAGUUCAACAGACAACUUGUCCACUAUAUACUUCUUCGCCGAGUUGAACAGGACAACAAGCUUCAUGAAAUGUGAUUCUACAUCAAUGACAGGCUUGCAUAUUUUGGCCUGAAGGAGUUUGCGCUAAUCACGGGUUGAAACUGUGGGUGUUAUCCCCGUGAUUCAAAAUAUGUCAAAGAGAUGGAGGAGGGUGAAGAUUUUUUCAAAAAGAUUGCGAAAAAGAGGAGUGUACAUGCGAAGAGAUUGUUGAAGCUUAUUAAAGGUGGGAGGCUGGACAAGGAGGACAAGUUCAAAUGCUACUUGGUUUGGUUCGUGCACUGUAUAUUGCUUGCACGCGACUUGUCAAAAAUCGUGGACAUAGACACCAUCAAGAUGGUGGAUAACUUGAGCUUCUUUGAGAGAUACCUUUAGGGUAAGGAGUCAUUUGCCUUGACUCUAAACUAUCUAAAGAAGCUGUUAGACUUCAGCAGAUAGAAGAAGACAUCUGUGACAAAGGGAGUUUCAUCGUACGCACUCUACGGAUUUCCUUGGGCAUUUAUGGUAUUUGAUUAUAAAUCAUUGAAGUAGUUUAUUAUAUACUGUAAUUCAUCUAUGGUGUCUAUACUAUACUGACUCUCAGUAAUAUAUUUUUAUUUUUUAUUUUGAUCACAGAUUUGAUUAUACAAAGCCUUUUCCGCGCUCGGCAAGGGAAAUGGUAAAUCAACUGAAGACCCGCUGCCCAUUCCACGAUUGCUUAGAUGGCACACCCCAAAAGGCAAUAAACUAAUCGAAUGUGAUCCAUAUUUGAAUGGAUGUACCACAAAGAGAGUGCACCCGUACCUUAUCCCCAUAGUCCGUGAAAUGAAGCAGCACUACAUGAAAAAGUUCAAAGCAUUCACAAACGAACAAAAGGACACAUUUAUCGAUGGCUUGAAGGCCCAUCUAGAGGGUGUGACUGUCAACACCUUAUCAGAGAAUGGUGAGGAUGGAGAUGAUGACCGGGAUUUGGAUGGAUAUACUAUUUCAAGGCAUGUCACACGAGGUGCGGGGACAAGUAAGUCGAGAGCAUCGUGAAAGAUACCGAUGAUUGAAAAUCUGAAACAGCGUGUGUUUAGGCUAGAGAAAUCGAUCAAGAACAUCGUUAAUUUUUUGAAAGAAGAGAGGUUGAGGAGAGCAGAAAAGGAGAAACAAAAGAAGAGAGAUGAAGAUGAAGGUGUGCAGGGGCAAAGUCAGCAUUCAGUGGCGAGGCUAUCAGCGAUGAAGCGACAUUAAAGAAGCGUUCCUUGAGGCAACAACUUUGAAACUGGCCUAGAUCAAUGCUGAUGACAUGAUGAUCACUGAGGUUGCAGUUGUUGUAGAGAAAGAAAAUCUUGAUGAAGGCGAUGAAGAGAAAGAAGAAAAAAAAAAUAAAGAAGCUGUUUGUGAAGAAGAAAACAAAGCUGAUGGAUCAGCUGGUGUAGAGAAGGAGGAUCAUGAUGAAGGCAGGCAGGAUGAAGAAGAUAAAAAUGAGAAAAGUGUUUGUGAAGAAGAAAACAAUAAAGGAGAUGGAGAGAGCAAAAGAAAAGAAUGCAGGAGAAGUAGAGAAAGAAGAGGGAGAAGAACAUAAAGAAGAAGGAAAAAAUGAUGCUCAGAAAAAGAAGACAUCGCGGAGAAAGAAAAUGAAAAUGAAAACGAAUUUUCGAACUUAGAGAAAUUUCUUAACGAAGUUACUCAGGAUAUCGACAAGAUGCAAGUGGAAUAUGAAAAUGUUGAAUGUUUAGAUAAUGUUUAAUUUUUAUUUGUGGCUGAUGAUUAUUUUUAUUAGACUAGACAAUCUUAGCUUUUUAAA